rnacentral:rRNA from 1 species
AAUCAAGUGGAGGACAAGUCUGGUGCCAGCACCCGCGGUAAUUCCAGCUCCACUAGCGUAUAUUAAAGUUGUUGCAGUUAAAAAGCUCGUAGUUGAACCUCUGUCUGGGGCUAGUUUUGGCUUUGGUCAGGCUAGUUCUAGGCAUCCGCCUACAAGACUUAGAGGGCAUUCAGUUGUUCACUAGGAGGAGUAGGCAUUUUACUUUGAAAAAAUUAGAGUGUUUAAGGCAGGCAAUCGCCCGCAUAUAUUAGCAUGGAAUAAUAGAAUAGGACACUUUUCCAUUUCGUUGGUUAUUGGAAUCGUGUAAUGAUUAAUAGGGACAGUUGUGGGCAUUUGUAUUUAAUUGUCAGAGGUGAAAUUCUUGGAUUUAUUAAAGACAAACUAACGCGAAAGCAUUGCCAAGGAUGUUUUCAUUAAUCAAGAACGAAAGUUAGGGGAUCAAAGACGAUCAGAUACCGUCCUAGUCUUAACUAUAAACUAUUCCGACUCAAUGUUUGACUGGCUUAUAUAACCAGUUGAGCGUUGUAUGAGAAAUCAAAGUCUUUAGGUUCUGGGGGGAGUAUGGUUGCAAAGCUGAAACUUAAAGGAAUUGACGGAAGAGCACAACCAGGAGUGGAUUCUGCGGCUUAAUUUGACUCAACACGGGGAAACUUACCAGGUUAAAACAAUAGUGGGAUUGACAGUUUGAGAGCGCUUUCUUGAUUGGUUGGGUGGUGGUGCAUGGCCGUUCUUAGUUGGUGGAGUGAUUUGUCUGCUUAAUUGCGUUAACGAACGAGACCUUAACCUGCUUACUAGACUGGCGAUCAUCAAUCGUUAGCUCUUCUUAGAGGGACUUUGGUUGUUUUAACUCCAAGGAAGUUUGAGGCAAUAACAGGUCUGUGAUGCCCUUAGAUAUCCUGGGCCGCACGCGUCAUACAAUGACUAGUUCAGAAAGUUUUCUCCUGACCCGAAAGGGGAUGGGUAAUCUUGAUAAUACUAGUCGUGUUAGGGAUCGAUCUUUGCAAUUAUAGAUCUUGAACGAGGAAUUCCUAGUAAGUGCGGUUCAUCAGACCGUACUGAUUACGUCCCUGCUCUUUGUACACACCGCCCGUCGCUUCUACCGAGUGGGUGGUCCGGUGAGAUAAUUGAACUUCGCAGGUAACUGAGAGGAAAGAUUAUCAAACCUAUCCACCU